rnacentral:rRNA from 1 species
CUUGCUCCCGGGUGGCGAGUGGCGCACGGGUGAGUAAUACAUCGGAACGUGUCCUGUUGUGGGGGAUAACUGCUCGAAAGGGUGGCUAAUACCGCAUGAGACCUGAGGGUGAAAGCGGGGGAUCGCAAGACCUCGCGCAAUUGGAGCGGCCGAUGCCCGAUUAGCUAGUUGGUGAGGUAAAGGCUCACCAAGGCGACGAUCGGUAGCUGGUCUGAGAGGACGACCAGCCACACUGGGACUGAGACACGGCCCAGACUCCUACGGGAGGCAGCAGUGGGGAAUUUUGGACAAUGGGGGCAACCCUGAUCCAGCCAUGCCGCGUGCAGGAUGAAGGCCUUCGGGUUGUAAACUGCUUUUGUCAGGGACGAAAAGGACCGUGUUAAUACCAUGGUCUGCUGACGGUACCUGAAGAAUAAGCACCGGCUAACUACGUGCCAGC